UGGGGAAUAUUGGACAAUGGGCGCGAGCCUGAUCCAGCCAUGCCGCGUGAGUGAUGAAGGCCCUAGGGUUGUAAAGCUCUUUCACCGGUGAAGAUAAUGACGGUAACCGGAGAAGAAGCCCCGGCUAACUUCGUGCCAGCAGCCGCGGUAAUACGCAGGGGGCUAGCGUUGUUCGGAAUUACUGGGCGUAAAGCGCACGUAGGCGGAUCGAUCAGUUAGGGGUGAAAUCCCGGGGCUCAACCCCGGAACUGCCUCUAAUACUGUCGAUCUGGAGUUCGAGAGAGGCGAGUGGAAUUCCGAGUGUAGAGGUGAAAUUCGUAGAUAUUCGGAGGAACACCAGUGGCGAAGGCGGCUCACUGGCUCGAUACUGACGCUGAGGUGCGAAAGCGUGGGGAGCAAACA
rnacentral:rRNA from 1 species